rnacentral:misc_RNA from 1 species
GAGCCGUAACCGCUUCCGGGCGUGACGGGCGGCUGGUAUCCUCCUUCUGAGGGGUGUAUGGCGCAGCUUGGGCCGGUCCUUAGGGGUCGCGAAUUCCCAGUGCUGCGGCGGACCAUCCCUUGGGCAACUCAGUGGGGGCAAUUGGAUGGCUCGCAAGGCACCUUCGGCGGCUUUGGUCCUGGAGGUGGCUCGGGCCGGGUGCUGGGCUUCGGUCCACGCCCCGACCUUUUAACUAGCUCUGAUACCUCUUAGUUGAGGGUU